rnacentral:rRNA from 1 species
UACGUAGGGUGCAAGCGUUGUCCGGAAUUAUUGGGCGUAAAGAGCUCGUAGGCGGUUUGUCGCGUCUGCUGUGAAAGACCGGGGCUCAACUCCGGUUCUGCAGUGGGUACGGGCAGACUAGAGUGAUGUAGGGGAGACUGGAAUUCCUGGUGUAGCGGUGAAAUGCGCAGAUAUCAGGAGGAACACCGGUGGCGAAGGCGGGUCUCUGGGCAGUAACUGACGCUGAGGAGCGAAAGCGGUGGGAGCGAACAGG